GAUGAACGCUAGCGAUAGGCUUAACACAUGCAAGUCGAGGGGCAGCACAAGGUAGCUUGCUCUCUGGGUGGCGACCGGCGCACGGGUGCGUAACGCGUAUGCAACUUGCCCUAUACAGGAGGAUAACCCGUCGAAAGACGGACUGAUACUGCGUAUGCUCACAACUUGGCAUCAAGUGGUGAGGAAAGAAAUUCGGUAUAGGAUAGGCAUGCGUCCCAUUAGCUUGUUGGUGAGGUAACGGCUCACCAAGGCAACGAUGGGUAGGGGAACUGAGAGGUUUAUCCCCCACACUGGUACUGAGACACGGACCAGACUCCUACGGGAGGCAGCAGUGAGGAAUAUUGGUCAAUGGGCGCGAGCCUGAACCAGCCAAGUCGCGUGAAGGAUGACUGUCUUAUGGAUUGUAAACUUCUUUUAUACGGGAAUAACAAGAGUCACGUGUGACUCCCUGCAUGUACCGUAUGAAUAAGCAUCGGCUAACUCCGUG
rnacentral:rRNA from 1 species